AGAGACUAGAUUCUUUGAUGUAUUUAUUAAACUGUAUUAAUUGAUGCUCUUAAAUUAUCAGCAGGACUUGGUUCUCUUGCUUGUGGCCAUGCAGAGAAGGCUAA